UACAGAAGUCUCAAGCGUUGUUCGGAUUCAUUGGGCGUAAAGGGUGCGUAGGCGGCUUUGCAAGUCGGGUGUGAAAUCCCCAGGCUUAACCUGGGAACUGCAUUCGAGACUGCAUUGCUAGAGUAUGGGAGAGGGAAGUGGAAUUUCCGGUGUAGCGGUGAAAUGCGUAGAUAUCGGAAGGAACAUCAGUGGCGAAAGCGACUUCCUGGGCCAACACUGACGCUCAUGCACGAAAGCGUGGGGAGCAAACAGG
rnacentral:rRNA from 1 species